rnacentral:rRNA from 1 species
GACGAACGCUGGCGGCGUGCUUAACACAUGCAAGUCGAACGGAAAGGCCCUGCUCUUGUGGGGUGCUCGAGUGGCGAACGGGUGAGUAACACGUGAGUAACCUGCCCUUGACUUUGGGAUAACUUCUGGGAACUGGGGCUCAUACCGGAUAGGAGCUCCUGCUGCGUGGUGGGCGUUGGAAAGUGUCGGCGGUUGUGGAUCGAUUCGCGGGUUAUCAGCUUGUUGGGGGGGUAGUGGCGUACCAAGGCUUUGACGGGUAGCCGGCCUAAGAGGGUGACCGGCCACAUGGGGACUACGAGACGGCCCAGACUCGUACGGGAGGCAGCAGUGGGGAGUAUUGCAGAAUGGGCGGAAGCCUGAUGCAGCAACGCCGCGUGCGGGAUGACGGCCUUCGGGUUAUAAACCGAUUUCGCCUGUGCCGAAGCGUGAGUGACGGUAAUGGGUAAAGAAGCACCGGCUAACUACGUG